rnacentral:piRNA from 1 species
UCCUCAGUCUGUCUUGGGUGUCUUGAAUGGU